CCUCCUUCCUUCCUCUCUCACCAGCUCCCUCACUCCCUCUAUCUCCUCCUCUUCCUCCCUUCCUCCCUCCCACCCACCCUCCUUACCUCCCUCCCUUCCUCCCUCCUUUCCUCCAUCACCGCCAUCUUGAAGGGAAGCGUCUAUAUCUCCCUCAAAGAUCAACCCGUCCCCAUCUUGCACAAACCACAUCGCGCCACAUCAAUAAAAAAAA